UACGGGGGGGGCAAGCGUUGUUCGGAAUUACUGGGCGUAAAGGGCUCGUAGGCGGCCAACUAAGUCGGAUGUGAAAUCCCCAGGCUUAACCUGGGAACUGCAUCCGAUACUGGAUGGCUUGAAUCCGGGAGAGGGAUGCAGAAUUCCAGGUGUAGCGGUGAAAUGCGUAGAUAUCAGGAGGAACACCGAUAGCGAAGGCAGCUCGCUGGGACGGUACUGACGCUGAGGUGCGAAAGCGUGGGGGAGCGAACAGG
rnacentral:rRNA from 1 species